ensembl:lncRNA
GCUCAAGUAUAAAUCCUUAUUAUUCUAAACUGUCAUUUCUCAAACUUUAUCUUGCAUAGGAAUCAUCUGGAAGAUGUGUUAAAACAAAAAACCAGACUGCACAGUCCCACCACCAGAUUGAGUCAGACCUGAGAAUCUGCAUUUUUAACAAGGUCCAGAUCAUGCUGCCACUGACAAGGGAUCACACUUUGUGAACCACCGACCUCACCUAGUUAUGGACCAAGAUUAACAUUCAUGAAGCAAACGGAAGAGGAAUCAAGUGCAUCCAAGCAUAUAUCUGAAUUGGAAACUGAAUUAAAAUAAGAGAGAGAGAAGAAAGAUGAAAGGCAUGAAAGGGAAAGGAGGAAGAAACAAGGAAGAGGAAGAGAAAUAAGGUAAGCAGAGGAAUAAAAGAAGAAGGGGAGGAAAGAGGAGAGGAGAAGAAAAAAGAGAAGAAAAGAGAUACAAGAGGCAA